AUGUUUAAAGUGCUUUUCUUUUCUACUUUUUACAAAGCAGUACAGAAACAACAAAAGGAAAAAAUGAAAAAAAAUAAAAAAAUAAAAAAACUUUGCCCGCUCCGCCGCGAGGUGCCCGGGCGCCGCCCCCGCCGCAAAGUUUCACUCGGCGAGCUGCCGGCUGCGGGCACGGCUCCCCGGGGACGGCGCCCCCAGCCCCAUCGCCCGCUGCUCCCCGCGGGAUGCGGCCGGAGAAGGAGGAGGAGGAGGAGGAGGAGGAGGAGGAAGCGGGCGGGCACCAGGGAGCCCGCGGCGGGACGGGGCAGGGAAGUUUCCCCUCUCCCCGGGGAAAAGCGCGGCUCCCCGGUGCCAGGUGCCCGGUGCUGUCCCCGGUGCCCGGUGCCGGUGCCGUCCCCGGAGCCUCCCCGCGCCGCUCUGCCUCCGGCCCCGCCGGGCGGGCGCUUUGUAGGGAGCCCGGUCCCGCCCCGGCGGGCUGCGGGGCUCCGAGGCCGGGAAGGAGGAGCCGGCGGGCGGGGAGCGGCGCCCGGCGGAGCUCCGGGGGCUGUGGAGGCUGUGGGGGCACGGGGGGCUCGACAGUGGGGCAGGACACCCUGCCGACCCCUUGUGAGAGCCAGGCGGGAGCACGGAGUGAUUCACCCGGGUGGGUUUUGCCUCAGAGACAAGGACACUUUUAUGAUUCAGCCUUUUUUUCUUUUUUCUCUUAUUCAUUUUUUUUUUUUCGCUUAUUCUGGGGUUUUGCGGCUGCCCGCCCACUCCUAGUGUCCAGCCUGGGCUGGCACUGUUUAGGUACCCGCUGCUCACACUUUCCAUUCAAGCCAAGUAAAGCCAGAUGGGCUUGGGAGAGAGGGAAACUCUUGCCUGCAUGGGAGCUCCCCACAUUUGUAAGUCGGGCGCAUCUUUUGGGAAGAAAAAAAUGUGCUUCUCUGGAGUUGGUAGCAGCUUUUAUUUGAUUUUCCAAAAUUGACUGGACUUCAAAGUUACCAUCACCUUUUCUUACCAUUAUUUUACCUAGCACUUCUCCUGAAAAGACAGAAAGCUACUGAGUUUGGCAUCGUCAUACCUAAAUUUACUUCAGGCAGCACUCUCCUGGAGAUGGGUAGUGACCUAGGAGCUUCCAUCCACCCUGCAAUAGGCCCUCAACUCUUAUGUGCAUGCACUUUAUUGUGCUGUACAGUGCAGAGCAUUUGUCAGUUCUCAGUGUUCACUUUAUGACUACACUCCUGCCUGAAGCUGCAGCGGCUUCCACACUGAAUAGACUCAGUUACCACCUUGCCCUAGCAAGAGGACAUUUUAUGCCACC
rnacentral:lncRNA from 1 species